UACGGGGGGGGCAAGCGUUGUUCGGAAUUACUGGGCGUAAAGGGCUCGUAGGCGGCCAACUAAGUCGGAUGUGAAAUCCCCAGGCUCAACCUGGGAACUGCAUCCGAUACUGGAUGGCUUGAAUUCGGGAGAGGGAUGCAGAAUUCCAGGUGUAGCGGUGAAAUGCGUAGAUGUCUGGAGGAAUACCGGUGGCGAAGGCGGCAGUCCUGGACCGACAUUGACGCUGAGGAGCGAAAGCCAGGGAGCAAAGCGGG
rnacentral:rRNA from 1 species